CUAGUAUAACCACAAAAUAAUAAACCCUAAGCUAUUGUUUGGUUGGGGGUUAGGGGUUGGAAUAACCCCUUAACCCCUAUUUUAUUUCCAAACACUUUUAAAAAUGGGUGGGGUUAGCUAAUCCCACCUCAAAUGAGUUAUUCCGGAUUAGCUAACCCCACCUAACCCCACCAAACCCCAAACAAACACUAUUUUCUAUUCAUAAUAACCCACUAUCCUUCUUAUCCCGCCUACUCCAACCAAAUACUAUUUUUCACUAUCCUGAACUAACUCCAACCCCCAACCAAACACAAAAAUACUCUAACCCCAUCUUAACCCUAAACUUAACCCUAUCCCUGGAAUAACUAGUUUUUUCUUAACCCCGAACCAAACGGUAGCUAAGUAUCAAAGGCUUAAAAAACCUAUAAUAUACGUCAUUUACAUACUGUUAAUAGUAUUUUAGCUGUACUCUGAUAAACAACUAUCUUUUAUUAAAAUUGCUAAUUGUACGUAAAUUUUAGUCCCUUGUCUUAUUUUAGUCCCUUGUCAAUAGGGGUGACAAUCCAGCUUGCUGUUCGCGAGCCAACUCGCGUUCGGCUCGAAAUGAGCUCGAGAUCGGCUCGCUCGUUUAGUAAACGAGCCGAACACGAGCUGAAUUUUUCAGUUCGUUUAAUAAACGAUCGAACACGAGCUGGGGUCAGCUCGCUCGUGUUCGGCUCGAUAACAAUUCGAAUACAUAUAUUUUAUAUUUAUAUAAUUUAUUUAAUUUAUAUUUUUAUAUAUAAAUAAAUAAUUAUAUAUAAUAUAUAUUUUUAUUAUUUAAUUUUUAGCAAAAUAAAAAAAUAAAUGCGAGCUUAAUUAUAAAAAGACUUAUUUAUAUAUAAAGUUUUAACUAUUAGAUCAAAGUCUAAUGGAUAAGAUUUUAUAAAUUUACUUUUUAUAUAUAUUUAAUCUAAUCCUUUUUGAUUUAUUGUUCGUUGGCUAACUCGUGAGCUAGCUCGUGUUCGGCUCGUUAAUAAACGAGCCAAACACGAGCUGAAUUUUUCAGCUCGAUAUUUUAACUAGCCAGCUCGUGUUCGGCUCGUUUACAACCCUACUU
rnacentral:lncRNA from 1 species